GAGAGACGCCGGCCUGGGCUUCACGGGAAAGUGGAGAAGUAGGGGCCGGAGUGUUGCAACCCCUAGGAUGCAAACUGCGUGGGUUUCCACGGGUCACUGGGACACACGGUGGAAUGGCUUGGCACACAUCGUCGAUAAAGCACAAGUAAACCUGUCUCUGGUACGCUCUGCUUUGAGCCAAGAUCUAUCUGCCAUCAGCAAUGAAAUUGUUUCACAUCCUCUUCUGAAUCCUGCCCAAACCUUGCCAGCUCCCGUCAGCGUUCUCAGGGUAGUGAAUGAGCGUCAGCAAUAUUCUGCUUGCAUGUGACGUCGGUGACAGCGUUCUAGAGUUUGAGCAUUCUGUUGGGUGUCUUUCUUUGGAAUGGAUAUGAAUCACCCACUUUGUGACGCAUGUAACUACUGAAUGUGCGUGUCUUAAGGCUACCUAGAAAUGUCCCACGGUAGUAAAGGCCGGCUCUCACUUCUCCCAGUUCCACGUGGACCAUCAAGAGGCGCUGAGGACCCUCAAACCUUGACUCUCAGCGCUGGAUUCUCAGGACCUGUCUUGAAGGAGCAGAUGCCCCAACGACCCUUAGCCCUCCACUCUCAUUUGUCCAAUGU